ensembl:snRNA U6 U6 spliceosomal RNA
GUGCUCACUUCAGCAGCACAUAUACUAAAAUUGGAACAAUACAGAUAAGAUUAGCAUGGCUCCUAUGCAAGGAUAACGUAAAUUUGUGAAGCAUUCCAUAUUUUU